rnacentral:misc_RNA from 1 species
CUUGGGUAGAAUGAAAUUUCCUUUCCAUUCAUAAAUUUUUACAUAGCAUUUGAUUUCAAAUCCAAGUCUAUAUACAAGUCCCUUGUCAGCAAAUCACCCAAUCAAAAAGCACCACACUGCACAUUGACUGUGAAACUGGGAACUCAAGAAAUUUUUCUCAUUUCUUCCUUGACACGUGAGAAAAGCAAACUCCUUACAUGAAAAAGAAAACCAAAAUAAAGAGCUAGCCACAUCAUAUACAGAUCUCAGAUCACAUCAUAGAGCAGAUCCAUCAAUCCACACAUGACUACUCAAUCCUAUUUAUAACAUUCACAGAAGAAAGUAGAAGGAAGUAGAAAAACCCAAAAAGAAAAAAAAUGUAAAAUCCUCAAAGUGAAGAGUCCUCCUCCAAAUCACUUCUUGCCCUUUCCUUGCUGACAAAAACCAUACAUAGUACCAUAUAUAUUCUGUUCUUUACCCUCCACCUUCUGUUCUUUCCUCCGGUAAUUGUUUUUUCUCUUUUCAGCGCAAAUUAACAUUAUAAACUAUAUGCAUGUAUAUAUAUUUGUUUGUAAAACUAAGCUGCAGCUACAGUGCCUGUACAAGAAGGGUAGUCCUGUGUCUUAGGAGGUGAUAUAGAUUUCUUCUGGUCUUUUUUCCUUAAAGCUUUCAUGGAAGAAGAAAGGUUCCAGUUCUUGUCUUUAGCUUCAUCAAUCUCUAUUUGCUCUUGCCUGCACUCUUCACUGCAGAAUGGUGUGUCCCCUCUAUACAUGAAGAUGUCUCUGUUAUCACUCAGUGGUCUCUUGCAAAGAAAACAAGCUUCCAAGAAAUGAGGCUGAUGAUCUUCAAAUCUCGCAUCAUAAAAUCUCGCAGAUCUUGGAGAAGCAACAGACGAUGAAAGGUUCCUGAAACUCCCCGUCUUCCUCCCAUAACAAAGCGACCGAGAAAAGAAAGGGUGGUUGUGAUGGUGGUUUUGGUGGUUCCCUGAAAACCCAGCUUCCAUAUCAGCAAGAGAAGCUAACCCAUCAUCUUCCUCAACGAAACAAGGCCUUCUAAACCCAGAAGACGAGUCCAUGACUCUUUUACUAUAAAUUUGGCUAUGUAUAUAGCCCUUCUUCAAGUUUUUGCUUUUCUUAGAUUCUUGAGAGAAGAGAAGAGAAGAGAAGAGGAGAAGAGGAAGGACAAAGG